rnacentral:rRNA from 1 species
GAUGAACGCUGGCGGCGUGCCUAAUACAUGCAAGUCGAGCGAACGGACGAGAAGCUUGCUUCUCUGAUGUUAGCGGCGGACGGGUGAGUAACACGUGGAUAACCUACCUAUAAGACUGGGAUAACUUCGGGAAACCGGAGCUAAUACCGGAUAAUAUUUUGAACCGCAUGGUUCAAAAGUGAAAGACGGUCUUGCUGUCACUUAUAGAUGGAUCCGCGCUGCAUUAGCUAGUUGGUAAGGUAACGGCUUACCAAGGCAACGAUGCAUAGCCGACCUGAGAGGGUGAUCGGCCACACUGGAACUGAGACACGGUCCAGACUCCUACGGGAGGCAGCAGUAGGGAAUCUGCCGCAAUGGGCGAAAGCCUGACGGAGCAACGCCGCGUGAGUGAUGGAGGUCUUCGGAUCGUAAAACUCUGUUAUUAGGGAAGAACAUAUGUGUAAGUAACUGUGCACAUCUUGACGGUACCUAAUCAGAAAGCCACGGCUAACUACGU